rnacentral:rRNA from 1 species
CUACGGGUGGCAGCAGGCGCGGAACCUUUACAAUGCACGAAAGUGUGAUAAGGGGAUCCCAAGUGCUUUGCUUUUAGCAAGGCUUUUGCCAUAUGUAAAAAGUAUGGCGAAUAAGUGGUGGGUAAGACUUGUGCCAGCCGCCGCGGUAACACCAGCGCCACAAGUGGCAACCGCUUUUAUUGGGCCUAAAGCGUCCGUAGCCGGUUUAGUAAAUUUUCUGUGAAAUCGUUGGGCUUAACCUAACGGCAUGCAGGAAAGACUACUAAACUAGGGACCGGGAGGCGUCAGAGGUAUUCUUGAGGGAGCGGUAAAAUGCUAUAAUCUCAGGAGGACCACCAGUGGCGAAGGCGUCUGACGAGAACGGCUCCGACGGUGAGGGACGAAAGCUAGGGGAGCAAACCGGAUUAGAUACCCCCGUAGUC